GGGAGCAUCGUGGGGCAUAUAUAAUGCUAUCCUCCUAGGAGGGAGCGUCACGGGGCAUAUAUAGCGCCAUCCUCCACCAGGCAAAAAUUCUCACUUCUUUGCAGGUCGCGUAAGCAUUGAUGCAACAUCAUUCAUCAAUUUGCUCGGUUCUUCUUGUGAGGGUAUAUGUGCAAGCAACUACCUCCACUCACAUUAUAUCUCGCUGAAUUCCGUGUUGAAUCAUUUCAAUCUCGUGCCCGGAUCAUAUGAUCAAUUCAUCAUGAUGAAAAGAGUUCUCUUGAUGGAGAACAAUAACUGUCCACAAAAUCAUCCGAGUUGCCAAUACUUUCCUCCUCCUUCGGCAUGGAUCGAUCGGAAUCCUGUACCAUACGAUGACUAUAAAACUCCAACGUGGGUUAUUGUUGGUUUAGUCAUUGUUGCGGUCAUGCUUUGUGGUUUCCUUUUCUGCUGCAUCUGGCGCACGUGUUGGCUGGGGCCGAAAGGGCCGCCGGGGCCGGAAGGGCCGCCGGGGCCGGAAGGGCCGCCGGGGCCGAAAGGGCCGCCGGGGCUAGAGGGACCAAAGGGGCCACAGGGGCCGCCAGGGCCACCGGGGCCACAAGGGCCAGAGGGGCCAAAGGGGCCGCCGGGGCCGCCGUGCAAGUCAUGCAAGUCGUGCCAGCCGUGCAAGUCGUGCCAGCCAUGCCAGCCGUGCAAGCCGUGCAAGUCGUGCCAACCAUGCCAGCCGUGCCAACCGUGCUCGCCAGGGCUGCCGUGUCAAUGGCUAUGAGGGCAACAGCAGUGGCAAAGUGGGGGUGGCAACAAUUGCAGUGGGGCAAUUAGCUGGCACGGAUGGCCCAUUUAUUUGUGAGAAGUGCAAGCAUGGAAGAGUACCAGCUUGUCUAAUCUAGACAAUAAUUGAGACAAAAAUUACAAUAGUCUUUCUUAUCUUAUUGUAUGCUUAUGAAUUUAGAAGCUUCUAUUUAUGUUUGUGUGUGAAACUUGAACGAUGCACAAUGAUAGAUCAUCUACUCUACUAUACAAUGUUGGAGAUUCGAUGCGAUGAAUAACUUUUGUGUUGGAGGGUUUUUCGAAUUUCUUACAUGAGCAGUUUUAUGGUCAUCAAUAAAUAAUUUUUUGAAUUA